GCCCCACACUAACAACUAAAGCUAAACCUUUCAGAAUUGAACUAGAUGAUCUUAAGAAGUCAAGGGGAUAGAAGAUUGAUAAAUGGUAUUCUUUGGUGGUCAAUACAGAACUCUGUGUGUUCCCUGUAAGGGCAGACCAACACGAUAAUCUUCCCACUUUUAAAUAAACUGUCUUUACUAAAGGCUGUUCUUCCAGUUGUCAAGGAGAAACUGGUAACUGGAGUGAGACAGUAGGGACACUGUAUAUUUAGGAAUCGGGUUGGGGCUCCUAAAGGACUUGACUUGUGUGGUGACCACUGAGAGAUGAACACAGAUCUUUGGUAAUCUGAUGGCA